rnacentral:lncRNA from 1 species
CCUCCGCCACUCUCUGACUGUCCUUUGCCUGUGCCAAGGUUUCUGGGAAGAACAGGAAGUUCAGGGAUGGCGGAAAAUGUUUGGCAGAUUCCCUGAGUCCAAAGCCGGAGCACCUGCUCCUGCCUGAGGGCAGAGAGGACUGAAAGAACUGGCAUGAAACCCAUUCUGCCUUCAAGUUUUGAGAUGCAGAGCUUUUAGUUCCUCUGCUAAUAGAGCCUCGUUUGAAUACUCUGCUUGAAAGGCAAAAGACAUCUGCCUCAACUUCAAUCAAGGAAAAAUAGAGCAACUGUACAGCAGGCAGAAUCUCUAUGAUGACUGGAAUUUUGUCUAUCAAUGGAUGUAAUUAAUCCUUUGGCUCGAGGGCAAUAAAAUUUUGUCUUAAAGUA